GACGAGCGCUGGCGGCGUGCUUAACACAUGCAAGUCGAACGGAAAGGCCCUGCUUUUGUGGGGUGCUCGAGUGGCGAACGGGUGAGUAACACGUGAGUAACCUGCCCUUGACUCUGGGAUAACUUCAGGAAACUGGGGCUAAUACCGGAUAGGAGCUCCUGCUGCAUGGUGGGGGUUGGAAAGUUUCGGCGGUUGGGGAUGGACUCGCGGCUUAUCAGCUUGUUGGUGGGGUAGUGGCUUACCAAGGCUUUGACGGGUAGCCGGCCUGAGAGGGUGACCGGCCACAUUGGGACUGAGAUACGGCCCAGACUCCUACGGGAGGCAGCAGUGGGGAAUAUUGCACAAUGGGCGGAAGCCUGAUGCAGCAACGCCGCGUGCGGGAUGACGGCCUUCGGGUUGUAAACCGCCUUCGCCUGUGACGAAGCGUGAGUGACGGUAAUGGGUAAAGAAGCACCGGCUAACUACGUG
rnacentral:rRNA from 1 species